AUAACCACGGAGCAGGGCAGGAGCAGAGGUGCUGGAGGUGUUGCCCUGAGGCAGAGAGGGCAAUUCUGCAGGAAACCUGCAUUCCUGGAAAGGCAGGUUGGGCUGGGACAUUGUCUGUGCUGCUGCUCUCCCCACUCCAUUGGACAUCAAACAUUUGUUAAACGUCUUUUCUUUGAAAAACAAAGCCAGGGCUUUGGAUGGCUGAGUUGAAUGUCCUGGGGAAGACAGACGUAUUACUGCCCCAAAAGAUUCCGUGGGAUGUUACGGACACCUCAUCUUUCGAGUGGCACGAAGGGAAGCACCACUGGAAACCGGCUGGAAUAUUAACUCCUCGAACAAUAUCCUUGCUGGAGGAGAUGCAGAGUGACAGAAGAUCCCACCAGCUCCCAUACCAGUGCUCCCUACGGGAAGCCACCUGUCCUGGGAGAGAUGGCAUUGGCAGUGCGGGUUUGGGACAGUUGUGCCUGUCCCCUCCAGUGAGCGGCGAGGCAUAAGGGCUUGCGGAAAGGGCUUGCUUUGGGUGGCUGGUGAGAGAGGCUCUGGAAAUUCCCACUGCUCUUCGGGGCACAGAAUGGGUGUUGGGGACAAGAAGGGGACACCUGGGCCAGGGCACGAUGGCAGAGGGGGGGCAGAGAUGGGGCAGUGAUGGGUGCAAGGGUGCAAUGGUGGCUGAUUCACUGCUCGGCUGCACAGAAAUGGAGCCAUGUGAGGAACAGGGAGGGAUUUGACACAGAGUAUUUGUGCCCAAAGGAGAGGGAGUUGUGAAAUCUUCCUGCGGUCACAGGGCAGUGCUGUUGAUGAACGUGUUUGGAGGGGGCAGCUGACAGGGGGAGAAGGUUUCUGGGAAGAGCAGGAGCCCGCUGCAGGUAGCAAAAUACAAAUGAACCAUCAAAGGCAGAGAGGGAGGGGAGGAGUGUGUGGACUUUCCUGACAGUGGGGUGAGGACAGGGGUGAAAACAAGCAUGUCCCAAGCUUGGCAGUGAAGGCUGCACAGUGUGGAUCCAGCUGCAGCCAGCUGCUGGGCUGCCCAGCCCCAGCCUGGCUCAGCUAAGCUCAGCUGGGCUCGGCUCCACAGUUCCUGGCCCUUGCCUCGGGCUGAGUGUGGGAGGUUUUAGCAGAGACACCAGAAGGUCUCUGCACCUUUGGUUAUCUCAGAUAGAGAAGGUCAAGUGUGACACAAGAGUGCAGAGGUAGCAGGAGCAUGGCUGAGAGAUGCAAAAGAGGCAGAAGGGCUGCGGGAAGGUUUUAGCCUGGUCUCAGCCUCCAGUCUCAGCACAGGCAUGAAGUGUGACACUGGGGACAUCCAUGAGGAGCAUGACGAGGCUGGUGGCCUUGAACCCCUACAGCAAUUGGCUUUUGACCAGACAAAGGAGAAUUAAAUAUUUGUAUAAAACAGAACAUUUACUCUUCUCUACCAUGGAGCUGACCAGUACCUUCAGAGCCCAAAAAUGAGCCUGGGGUUAGGAACACCUCAAUGCUGAGCAGCUGACUGUGGCCCUUUGCUCUUCCCUGAUGGGUCUUUGCUGCCUGCCUGCUCUUCCCUUCAGCCUCAGAGCAGUUUUUGGGCACUGGGACCAGGACUGCUCACAGCCAUCCCUCCUCUCCCCACCCACCAGAGCCUGGCACUGCACAGGACAACCACAACGAUGCUUCAACAAGUGCCCUGGCGAGGAGAGCUCAAGGAGGGCAUUUGGCAACCUGUGGCAUCUCCUGGAGAAGUCCCAGAAGAAGCAGGAGAUGCUGGAGCAUGGAGAGGAGAGCUUAGGGGAGAGCAGGAGCAGAGGGGCAGCACAAGGGCAGCAGACAGCCCUGGGACAGGCAGUUGGAGCAGGGAAGGGAAAAUGCAUUUUGGGAUAAAAAUAAGCCCAGUGUGCACAGAAGAAGCUGACCUGACACAUCUCUUGGGGAAAUAUCAAUCCUGUAUUUACUGACCCCAGGGGUGCAGCUGAGCUUUGUGUCAGUGCCCCUCCAUGCUGCACAUGGGAUGUCGGAGAGAAACACCAGGGAGGUGGAUGGAGUAAAACAGUAGGAACUCGUCGAUUUCAAAGCCCAUUGUAUUAAAAUAUGUUUAUAUCUUGGUUCUUUAUUAAAUAUAAGCAGUUUUCCACUUGUAUACAUUUCUACAUCUUCAGUGCAAUCUGCUUUGCAUCAGGCAUUGAUAUAUUGGUAUAGUAUCUGAAAUGUUAGCUCUCAGGGAAUAUAAAUAGCAUACUGAUACUAAAUCUGCUUUCAAAAAUAGUUACAGGACAAUAAAUCUGAAGGACUUGAAGGUUUUUAAUCACCUCUACUUAGUUAUUCAGGGAUGGGCCAAAAAAGCAAUCAUUUAAAUUAAAGAAACAAAAGAGACACAACAGAAAAUUCUUAUGCACAAUAAUUGCUUUCUCCACUAAUAUUUACUCUGAGGCUAAGAAAAUAUUAUGGAAUUUUACAAAUAUAUUUCUCUUAAUUUUUCCAGCACGCUAAAUAUUGAUCCAAAAGAAAUCUUAUUCAGGAUGGUGGGGUUUUUUCCCUUUUUCUUUUCAUUUUUGCCCAUUUCAAGAAAUCCUAAAUAAUGAGUCUGUGGGGGAGUUCUCACUGGGGAUAAAGCAAGGACAGCUCAUGGUACUUUGCUGGACCCCCAGCCACCAGGAGCAGCUCCCUCUAUUGCUUUUGCCAGUAUUGCAAUAUUAUUAAACCCAGAGAUACUUUGGCUGUCAAGGGACAGUGGAAGCCUCUCCUCUGAUGUUAUUUUUGUUUGUUCCCAUUAAAGGUCUGAAGAAGGAAAUUCAGGGGAAUGCAGGUGAGUUGGAGAGAUGCAAAGGGCUGAGGAAGGGGGUCAGUGUCAGGACAGGCAGGGAGUGACAGAGAGAGGCAGGAUGCUCAUGUGAGGUGCCGUGUCUGCAAGAGAAAUGGGGCAAAAUAAUGCACAAGCCACAAAAUUAGGAAUGGGAAAGUGGCAGGGUCUGACAAGGUUGGUUUUGUGGCUGCAGGAAAGGGC